GAAUCCUGUAAACUGAGGUUCACGAGUCAAAAAGGUUCAUGAGAGCCCCGGGGGGGAGGGGAGAGAGAGAGAAGGCUCCUUUGUAUUUCCCUACCGAUUCAGAUCCUUCCAAAGAGCUCUCUCUCUCUCUCUCUCUCUCUCUCUCUCUCUCUCUCUCUCUCUCUCCAUUUGGCUUUUCUCUUUAUGCUCGCUUCAUAUGGCUUCAUUUAUCACUUUUGAUUCCCGAGAAUCGGUCUCAUUUUCGUUGCUGUAAUCCGAUGAUUCCUCUCUGAUAGCCAAUAGAAGUGUUUGAUGAAUCCGUUUCAGUCUGCAUUGGUCCUAGAGGUUUGACGCAUUUGGAUCUGAAGCUCCGACUUUGGAUUUUUCGGACGACGGUUCUUGAGCUAAUUUCCGAUUUUGAACCUUCGAACUUUUUGUUUGUCGUGGAUCUAGGACUUCAGUUUAAUUACAUAAACCGUGUUUUAUCUUCAUUUGCCCUCGUUUCAAAUGCUCAAGCUCUCCCAAAUUUAAAGCCCUGUUUCUUCAGAGUUCUAUUUUAGUGCAUCCUCAAACUUUUCACCUCUCUCUCUCUCUCUCUCUCUCUCUUUGUGAUUCACAGUCUCAUCUCAAGGAUUGUCUUACUUUGAGAGGCUCCAUUUUUGGUUUUCUUUAGUCUGUACAUAUUCUGACCUUUUAGUUUCUUGGGGCUGUUCUAGUAGAAGUAUCAGACUCGUCAGUUUUGCCUUCUGUAACGUUCGGCCUUUUCUUCAAACUUCCGCUUGUUUGUAGUUUCCUUUGUUUUUGUUGGGAGACCACAAAAUGAUGAGACCACCACCUGAUGACUUUGCCCUGAAGCCAACAUCUCCUCAUCUUGGAGGAGGAAGGGUGGCUGGUGAUAAGCUCACUAGCACACAUGACCUUGUUGAGCAGAUGCAGUAUCUAUAUGUCCGUGUCGUCAAGGCCAAAGAUUUGCCUGCGAAGGAUGUCACAGGUGGCUGUGAUCCUUAUGUUGAAGUGAAGCUUGGAAAUUACAAGGGUACAACCCACCACUUUGAGAAAAAUUUGAACCCUGAGUGGAACCAAGUCUUUGCAUUCUCAAAGGACAGAAUUCAAGCUUCUUACCUUGAGGUUAUACUGAAAGAUAAAGAUGCUGUGAAAGAUGAUUUUAUGGGUCGUGUUCUUUUUGAUCUCAAUGAGAUCCCGAAAAGGGUACCCCCAGAUAGUCCUCUGGCACCACAGUGGUAUAAACUUGAAUAUAAGAGGGGGGAGAAUAAGGUUAAGGGAGAGUUGAUGUUGGCUGUUUGGAUGGGUACUCAAGCAGAUGAAGCAUUUCCUGAAGCUUGGCAUUCAGAUGCAGCAGGGGUUAGCAGCAGUGAUGGUCUUGCAAACAUUCGAUCAAAGGUUUAUCUUUCACCUAAGCUUUGGUAUCUUAGGGUUAAUGUAAUUGAAGCCCAGGACUUGCAGCCAAGUGAGAAAGGCAGGUACGCAGAGGUUUUUGUGAAGGCUGAACUUGGAAAUCAACUUUUGAAAACUAGGAUUGCUCAGAGCAGGAAUGGCAAUAUGCUGUGGAAUGAGGAUCUCGUGUUUGUAGCGGCAGAACCUUUUGAAGAGCCAUUGAUUUUAAGUGUGGUGGACAGGGUUGCUCCCAACAAGGAUGAGGUUUUGGGGAAGUGUCUGAUUUCUUUGCACUAUGUGGAGAGGAGAUUAGAUCAUAAAGCUGUCAAUACUCGGUGGCAUAAUCUCGAGUGGCAUUUUGUAGAUGCAGAACAGAAGAAGAAAGAAGCCAAGUUUGCUAGCAGGCUUCAUACAAGAAUCUGUCUGGAUGGUGGUUAUCAUGUUUUGGAUGAAUCCACACACUACAGCAGUGAUCUUAGGCCAACAGGGAAACAGUUGUGGAAGCCCACCAUUGGGGUUCUGGAAUUGGGGGUUUUGAAUGCCCAUGAAUUGUUGCCCAUGAAGAUCAAAGAUGGGCGUGGAACUACAGAUGCUUAUUGUGUGGCCAAAUAUGGGCAGAAAUGGGUGCGGACCAGGACAAUUAUAGAUAGCUUUAACCCCAAGUGGAAUGAGCAAUAUACUUGGGAAGUUUAUGACCCAUGUACUGUCAUAACUAUAGGGGUAUUUGAUAACUGUCAUUUGCAUGGGGCAAAGGCUGAAGGGGUAAAGGAUUCAAAGAUUGGAAAGGUAAGGGUUCGUCUAUCCACUCUAGAAACUGAUCGUGUUUACACACACUCAUAUCCACUUCUGGUUUUACAUCCAAGUGGGGUGAAGAAGAUGGGUGAAAUUCAUUUGGCUGUGAGGUUUACUUGCUCAUCUUUGCUCAAUAUGAUGCAGAUGUAUUCUCAACCACUGUUGCCAAAAAUGCACUAUCUUUAUCCAAUACCCAUUCCUCAGCUCGAUAGGUUGAGGCACCAUGCCACUCAGAUUGUCUCAGCAAGGCUAACCCGUGCUGAGCCACCAUUGAGGAAAGAGGUCGUUGAAUAUAUGCUGGAUAUGGAUUCCCAUAUGUGGAGCAUGAGAAGAAGCAAAGCUAAUUUUUUCAGGAUUAUGGGAGUUUUGAGUGGGUUAAUUGCUGUGGUAAAAUGGUUUGACCAGACAUGCAAUUGGAAGAACCCCAUCACAACUGUUCUCAUUCACAUUUUAUUUUUAAUAUUGGUCGUGUAUCCGGAGCUUAUUCUACCCACAAUUUUUCUAUACCUUUUCUUGAUUGGGGUUUGGUACUACAGAUGGAGGCCAAGGCACCCUCCCCAUAUGGACACUCGUCUGUCUUGUGCAGAUAGUGCUCAUCCUGAUGAGCUAGAUGAAGAAUUUGAUACAUUCCCAACUUCCCGGCCUACUGAUAUUGUGAGGAUGAGAUAUGAUCGUCUGAGAAGUGUUGCAGGGAGGAUUCAGACUGUGGUUGGUGACUUGGCAACUCAAGGGGAGAGGCUGCAAUCUUUGCUUAGUUGGCGAGACCCAAGAGCCACUGCUUUGUUUUUGAUUUUCUGUCUGGUUGCUGCAAUAUUUCUGUAUGUUACACCUUUCCAAGUUGUGGCCCUUCUCACAGGAUUUUAUGUGUUGAGACAUCCAAGGUUUCGUCAUAAUCUACCUUCAGUUCCACUUAAUUUCUUCAGGAGGUUGCCUGCAAGAACAGAUAGCAUGUUAUGAGCUAUAAGCCAACUUCUAUAUGUGCUACAUUACCCCCCAGCGGUCUAGAAUUGGAUUACCCAUCUGUUUGGUCAGUGAAGGAGAUAUGGAAACAAGUCGGUCUUCUAUGGUUUCUUCAUCCAGUGGUGGAUUUUAGACUCUGGUGAGCUAGUUAGGUGAGCAGAUCAGGCUCGCGGAUAGAAAUUUCUUGGUUACCCUAGUUACAGGGACUUGCAGGAGACCGAGCUUAGAGAGCUUUGGGGAAGGGUGUAGUUAUAGUAGCCAUAAUAAGUGGUUGUAAGAUAUGAGACUUUUAUGUUUUAUUUUGAUCUUUGGGUUGUAAUAUUGCUAUUUGGAGAUAUUUAUAUUGUGAUGAUUUAGAACUCUGGUAAUGCAUAUGAGGUGUAUGAA